GGAAUUGUAGCUCAGUGGUAGAGCAUCUGCUUCACAUGCAGAACAUACCAGGUUCUAUGCCCAGGAGUUUUA